UUUCAUUCCUACUACAAUCAAAUUGAUUGGCAUUGUUAGAUAAUAUCUCUCCAGAGGGCCCAAGCACUGCAAACAUGCUUCUUUCUUUCAUGGGUGUCCUAGUAUACCAAACCCUAGUCAGUUGGAACCAUACCUUGUUCAUAGUUUGCACAGCAUCAGAGGGCCAGAUUAACAUAUGGGCUUUUGGAGCAACAGCUGCAUUCCUAUAGAUUGUUA